UCUACUCAAUAACCCGACGCACAUCCAGAAUCAGCCCUGCUAGGCCUGGCUACAAAUACUAAUCCUUGCCGAAACCAACUCACAGCUCAGUCGUUGGACUCCAAGCAGUAGUGCAGUAGCAUCUUUUUAAAAGGAAGUGACGUCUCCCAAGCAAGAUUUCUCACGGAAAAGAUGAAGACCAUUUGUGUCCUGUUCGUUCUGGUGGUGAUCUUCUCCUUGGUCCUCGGAGAUAAAGUCGAGGAAGGAUUCAGUGAA